rnacentral:rRNA from 1 species
AACGAACGCUGGCGGCAGGCCUAACACAUGCAAGUCGAGCGGACAUCUUCGGAUGUUAGCGGCGGACGGGUGAGUAACGCGUGGGAACGUGCCCUUUGCUUCGGAAUAGCCUCGGGAAACUUGGAGUAAUACCGGAUGUACUCUUUGGGGGAAAGAUUUAUCGGCAAAGGAUCGGCCCGCGUUGGAUUAGGUAGUUGGUGGGGUAAUGGCCUACCAAGCCGACGAUCCAUAGCUGGGUUGAGAGGAUGAUCAGACACACUGGGACUGACACACGGCCAAGAAUCACACGGAAGGAAGGAAUGGAGAAUAUAAGACAAUGCGGGAGACGCUGAACUAGACAUGCCGCGUGAACGAUGAAAGCCUUAGGGUCGUAAAGCUCUUUCAUAGGGGAAGAUAAGGACGGUACCAGGAGAAGAAGCCCCGGCUAACUCCGUG